UACAGAGGGUGCGAGCGUUAAUCGGAAUUACUGGGCGUAAAGCGCGCGUAGGCGGUUACGUAAGUUGGAUGUGAAAUCCCUGGGCUCAACCUAGGAAUUGCAUACAAAACUGCGUAGCUUGAGUGGAGUAGAGGUGAGUGGAAUUUCCGGAGUAGCGGUGAAAUGCGUAGAUACCGGAAGGAACACCAGUGGCGAAGGCGACUCACUGGACUCUAACUGACGCUGAGGUGCGAAAGCGUGGGUAGCGAACAGG
rnacentral:rRNA from 1 species